rnacentral:rRNA from 1 species
AUAAGGAUGAACCCGUCUCUGUGGCAAAAGAGUGGGAAGAUCUCGCAGUAGCGGUGAAAAGCCUAACGAGCCUGGUGAUAGCUGGUUGCUCAAUAAAUGAAUUAAAGUUCAACUUUAGGUUAUUUUAUCAAAUUUUUAAGUUCAAAUACAACCUAAAAGUUAGUCAAUAAGGGUACAACUUCAUUGACAUUGGAUACAACCUCCACUAGAGAGAAAGAAAUAACAUUUAUCCAGUAGGCCUUAAAGCAGCCACCAAUAAAAAAAGCGUCAUAGCAACACAACAACAAAUACCUCAUAUAACAACUAACUCCUAGUAAAAUAUUGAGCUAAACUAUAAUAAUAGUUAAACUUCUGCUAAAACUAGUAACAAGAAACCUUCUCUCCGCACCCCCGUAACCCAGAAAUAGAAAAACUACUGGAUCUUAACAGACCAAAACAGGCACAACACAACUCAUUGUAUUAACCACUGUUAAACCAACACUGGAGUGCCAUCAAGAUAGAUUUAAAGUUGUAUAAGGAACUCGGCAAAAUUUAUCCCAACUGUUUACCAAAAACAUAGCCUUUAGCAAUAUAAGUAUUAAAGGUCCCGCCUGCCCAGUG